GGGGGCGUAGCUCAGCUGGCAGAGCAGCGGACUUUUAAUCCGAAGCGCAAGGGUUCGAGCCCCUUCGCCCCCA
rnacentral:tRNA from 1 species